rnacentral:rRNA from 1 species
GAUUAAGUUAUUAAGGGCGCACGGUGGAUGCCUUGGCACUAGAAGCCGAUGAAGGACGUUACUAACGACGAUAUGCUUUGGGGAGCUGUAAGUAAGCUUUGAUCCAGAGAUUUCCGAAUGGGGAAACCCAGCAUGAGUUAUGUCAUGUUAUCGAUAUG